ensembl:snRNA U6 U6 spliceosomal RNA
GUGCUCACUUUGGCUGCAGACAUACUACAAUUGGAACAAUGCAGAGAAGAUUAGCAUGACGUCUACACAUGGACGACACAUAAAUUUGUGUAGCUAUCUAUAUUUUU